GACGAACGCUGGCGGCGUGCUUAACACAUGCAAGUCGAGCGGUAAGGCCCUUUCGGGGGUACACGAGCGGCGAACGGGUGAGUAACACGUGGGUGACCUGCCCUCAGCUCUGGGAUAAGCCUGGGAAACCGGGUCUAAUACUGGAUAUGACUCCAUGACGCAUGUUGUGGGGUGGAAAGCCUUGUGCGGCUGAGGAUGGGCCCGCGGCCUAUCAGCUUGUUGGUGGGAUGAUGGCCUACCAAGGCGACGACGGGUAGCCGGCCUGAGAGGGCGACCGGCCACACUGGGACUGAGACACGGCCCAGACUCCUACGGGAGGUAGCAGUGGGGAAUCUUGCGCAAUGGGCGAAAGCCUGACGCAGCGACGCCGCGUGAGGGAUGACGGCCU
rnacentral:rRNA from 1 species